GACGAACGCUGGCGGCGUGCCUAACACAUGCAAGUCGAACGAGAAUCUAUGGAAAGAGGCUUCGGCCAAUUGAAGUAGAGGACAGUGGCGGACGGGUGAGUAACGCGUGAGCAACCUGCCUCGGAGUGGGGGACAACAGGGGGAAACCUCUGCUAAUACCGCAUAAUGUCAUUGGGUGGCAUCACUUAAUGACCAAAGAUUUAUUGCUCUGAGAUGGGCUCGCGUCUGAUUAGGUAGUUGGUGAGGUAACGGCUCACCAAGCCUACGAUCAGUAGCCGGGUUGAGAGACUGAACGGCCACAUUGGGACUGAGAUACGGCCCAG
rnacentral:rRNA from 1 species